GUCGAGAAUCUUCCGCAAUGCGCGAAAGCGUGACGGAGCGACACCGCGUGAUGGAUGAAGUCCUUCGGGGCGUAAACAUCUUUUAUAAAGGAGGAAAUUUUUGACGUUACUUUAUGAAUAAGGGGCUCCCAAUCUCGUGCCAGCAGGAGCGGUAAUACGAGAGCCUCAAGCGUUAUCCGGAAUCAUUGGGCGUAAAGGGUGCGUAGGUGGUUUGAUUAGUCUCCCGUUAAAACUUCGAGCUUAACUCGAAAAUAGCGGGGGAAACGGUCAAACUAGAGUAUGUGAGAGGUGUGUGGAACUCAUGGUGUAGGAGUGAAAUCCGUUGAUAUCAUGGGGAACACCAAAAGCGAAGGCAGCACACUGGCACAUCACUGACACUGAGGCACGAAACCUAAGGUAGCGAAUGGGAUUAGAAACCCUAGUAGUCC
rnacentral:rRNA from 1 species